rfam:Schistosoma curassoni strain Dakar, Senegal genome assembly, scaffold: SCTD_contig0001181
AUCCAGCUGUUGAGUCCUAAAAACAGAACGAAACGCGCGUCCUGGAU